rnacentral:lncRNA from 1 species
GUAGCAUUGCCACGAUUCAUUCACAUCAUAUUCAUGCAUCAUAUUGUUUGAACAUUUUGUCGUGGUUAUGUGUUCAUUCGAUGUUGUAUUUUCUUUUGGGUAGCACCGGGUAUCGAGUACGACUAUGAGGUGUUGGGUAACGUCGCAUGGGAAACAAAAAAUUUCCUACGCGCACAAAGACCUAUCAUGGUGAUGUCCAUCUACGAGAGGGGAUUUCCGAUCUACGUACCCUCAUAGAUCGCAUAGCAGAAGCGUUAGUGAACGCGGUUGCUGUAGUGGAACGUCCUCACGUCCCUCGAUCCGCCCCGCGAACCAUCCCACGAACCGUCCCGCGAUCCGUCUCACGAUCCGAUCCGAUCUAGUGCCGAACGGACGGCACCUCCGCGUUCAGCACACGUACAGCUCGACGAUGAUCUCGGCCUUCUUGAUCCAGCAAAAGAGACGGAGAGGUAGAUGAGUUCUCUGGCAGCGUGAUGGCGCUCCGGAGGUUGGUGGUGAUCUAAUCUCAGCAGGGCUCCGCCCGAGCUCCGCUGAAACGAGAUCUAGAGAAAAAACCGUGGAGGUAUGUGGUCGGGCUGCCGUGGCAAAAGUUGUCUCAAAUCAGCCCUAAUACCUCAGUAUAUAUAGGAGGGAGGGGGAGGUAAGAGGCAGCCUCAAACCCUCAAGGUUUGGCCGAAAUUGGAGGUGGAGGAGUCCUACUCCAAUCCUACUUGGAGUAGGAUUCCACCUUCCCACUUGGAAACUCUUUCCACCUUGUGUUUUUUCCUUCACAAACCUUAUGGGCCUUAGUCGGAACUUAUUCCAGCCCACUAGGGCCUUGUUUAUCUCUUCCCAUAGCCCAUGAGACCCCUUGGGGCGUGACACCCCUCCCGAUGGUCCCCGGCACCCCUCCCGGCACUCCCGGUACACUACCGAUGAGCCCGAAACUUUUUCGGUGACCAAAACAGGACUUCCUAUAUAUCAAUCUUUAACUCCGGACCAUUCCAGAGCUCCUCGUGACAUCCUAGAUCUCAUCCGGGACUCCGAACAACAUUCGGUAACCAACCAUAUAACUCAAAUACGCAUAAAAACACGUCGAACCUUAAGUGUGCAGACCCUGCGGGUUCGAGAACUAUGUAGACAUGACCCGAGUGACUC